UGUGCGACUAAGAAUAUCUGCAUGCUCCUUGCAGAGGCCGGGGAAUCAUAACUUCGCACCGAAAUAAUCCUAUACAUCAAAAAGAAUGCCGCCACUCCCCCACCUUAAAGAAAUUGCCUCUCGUCUCUCCCCCGCCCCGGUUCCUUGCAAACUGAAAGGAGGGGGGGGGGAGAAGAAGUGCAGAAAACAAUGCAAUAUAUGCACAGCCUCUUCCUCCUGGGAAAAAGCGCGCGGCAAGCAAGUCCCCACACGCUUCCACGCUUCUCACGCAACUUGAACUCCUGGUGCAGAGACAGAGAGAAUGAGAGAGGAGGCGACCCACAAUGAUUCUCUGAUUUUUAAUGUGGGGGGUUGGGUGGGGGGUGGUCUUCAAGCAGCAGCACCCAUCCUUUGGCGUUCCUAAAACCCAGUGCACCACUAGCGAGGAUAAUCCAGCCCAACUCCUGCAGUUGGGAUCCUUGUCCUAUUGGACCAGCUGGCAGAGAAGGUCAUCUGGUGGGAUCACCUGGUCGAUAAUCUGUGCUGGCCUGCAGUUUGCCAGGUGGCUCACUUGUCAUAGUCUGCGAUGACUAACUCUGCGUGGUUUGGACAAAGCGAUGCCAAGACGUUUCAUCUUGCCCCAGUGACUCACAAGACUGAAAAAAUAUUGCAGCAUUUAGUUUGCAAGUAUAAUUUAUGUUCUUUCAACUGAUCUUGCUGUGGCCAGGCCAAUUCAGCCAUGAAAAGCGAGGGAAACGCAUCGGUUCAAGGAGGGAAGUGCUGAUCUAUGAGAACAAUUUUAGUUAAUUAAGUGGACAUUUCACAAGGGCGAGGGAUCCACUAGUCCCCUUAAGAGAGCCAGUCAAAUGUGAAAUACAAGGGAUUUUGUUAGGGGAAAUAAAUGGACAGGCUGCAGAUGGGGGGGGCAGCUGGAAUUUUGCUGCCUUUGUAGCUGAAAGAAGAGGAUGGCCCAGUAGAACAAAGGGGUUCUGAGCUUAUGGAGUUGAGGGAUCUCCACGCUUGCGUCAUCCUUGUUGUCAAGGACAAAAGCUACAUGGGCAUUUGUACGAAGCGGGGUUUCCAUUUUGCUAUUCCAUCCAUGUUAGAAAAACUGUCAGGUAUGGAUAUAAUCAUCUGGGCAGUGAUGAGUUACUUCACACAACCGGCUUCUCCUUUAUUUAAAGGCACAUAUGGCAACCCGGCCAGAAGGCAGUCUAGGCCAAAAUGUAAGAGGGAAAUGGAGCUACCUGCUGCUACCUUCUUCCUGUUCUUCUUCAAGAAGCUUUGCACCAGGACAGGGCCCUCUCCUCUGAUUGUGGGAAAUGCCCCAACUUUUCAACUGAAACCGAAGGAGCAGCUGGAGAAGAUGAAACUGCGGGUAUAUCUACGGUAUAUUGCCGUCUCACCAGUUCACUUUUAAUGCUCAAUGCCUUUGUGCAUCACUCCCAGAAAUCUGGAGUGGUAGUUUGGGGAGCACUGAAUGCCCGCUAUUUGAUGAAAUACAGUAAUUUAUGACCAAGGCUAUUUUUUUUCAGCAGAGCUCAGUUCCAGCACAUUCAGGUGGGCGCCAUUGCCAUUCUAAGAGAACAAGGGAGAAGUUCAUGGUCAGCUCUGGCACCUCUUUUUCCAGGGAAAAAAAAUAGCACUGCUUAUGGCAUUUAUUUUACCUCAAGAGCUUGGCCUGUCCACACAACAAUGCUGCGUGUAGGCCAAGCCGAGAGUUACUGACUGACACAAAUUCACCCAGUAACUUUUGUGGCUGAGCAAUGGUCUGUAUUACGCUGAAUUCAGCUUGGUGAUGUAGAUGUUUGGAUGGAGGAGAAAUUCUAUUCAGUUCAAAUUUAAAGGCAAACUUACCUAAUUCAACAGGUGAAUAGUAACACCACCUUUUAAAAUUCGCAUUCUCUGAAUUUUGCAAUGCAGUUCUUCAGCCAGGUAAUGUGUACAAAAGAGAACACAUUGUGGUGAUGCGUACAUAUAGAUGCAUAUAUUAAUGAAAAAUACUGUAUGUACAUUAGGGGUUCAUAAUGCAUACAAAAAAAGAGGGCAUAUUAAGAGAAAAUCGCUGGACUUAAAAAAAAUAAAAUCACAAAUUGAUGUGGAGAACUGAACCAAAACCACCACAUUCACCCAUCUUGAUGUAGCUGCAGAUCAUUUAUUACUGUAGAUUACAGAUUACAGUGAGUUUCUGUUAUCUGUCGUAUGUCUGAUAUCUGGUGCCUCUUUUCAUUAGGUUAGUUCCUGCAGGGGUGCCUGUCACAAAGUGCUCAAAUAACCACUUUAAUCUUCUCAUCAGUCGCUUUGCGAACAAGCUAUUUUCACAUUUUUCUUCUUUGGUGCUCUGGUUUGAUCAGUCUCAAUAGAGUGCAGGGUGUGGAUGCUAAUAACUGCUUUUAAUUCAUCUGAGCUCCAGGCCAUUUCAUAGAAACUUUCCUUGGUACUGCAAGUGGUUUCCCAUGCCUCAGAUCCACCCUCACAAAACCCAGAUUCUGUCUUUCCACCCACUGAAGAUGAGAAGCAUAUAUCUAUUGGCUUUUAUCUGUUAAUAGAGAACAGUACUACAUACUCAAAACAAGUACAUUACAAAGCAAAAAGUAGGCCCCAACUCUCUUCAGCCUAUUCUUCUACCUGUUGCUCUCAUGUGCCUUCAGCUUGACUGAGGGUGGGGUGCACUUUCAUUCAAGGAACAACAGGGACCUGUUCAAUCUAGCAUGUCUCCAUGCCAAGACAAAAAUGCCAUGGGUGACUAGUUGACCUAGCAUUUUCACUAAAAAGGCAUGCUGCAUAGGACUUAUUGAUCCAAAAGUACCUAAAUGUUUCAUCAUGCAAGGCAGCUGAAAGCAGGUAUUAUAAAAUAUGUA